AAUUCUCACUACUUCCUCCCGGGAACUCUUCUCUGCAACAGCAGAACCAGGCAAACACCUUGAUUCUUGGGCGCCUCUUCACUCUUCCCCCACCUCGCAGAGUUUGUUACCCAUGGUCAACCACAGUCGAGAAGCAGCUGAUCCUCCUGAUGAAUCAUGAGAAGGUCCCCAGUAGCCUGACGCUGCGUCACAGCGCCUACGUCAUUCACCUCACGGCGUCUCAUCGUUACGCAUUUAAUCAUCUCACGUCGUCACAAGAAGGAGGAUGUGUUCCUAGCGGUCUUCGACUGGAGGGUGCUGAACACUGGAGAACUUUGAUGGGACCUAAGAGCUGCUAAUGAGACUCAUCUCCAAAAACGCUGAGGGAAAUGUU